UCCCCGGUAGCUCAGCGGUAGAGCUGCGCCCUGUUAAGGCGAAGGUCGUAGGUUCGAAUCCUACCCGGGGAG
rnacentral:tRNA from 2 species